rnacentral:tRNA from 1 species
UGGGGCGUAGCCAAGCGGUAAGGCAGCGGUCUUUGGAACCGCCAUUUCGUUGGUUCGAAUCCAGCCGCCCCAGCCA